rnacentral:rRNA from 1 species
UAGGGAAUCUUCGGCAAUGGACGAAAGUCUGACCGAGCAACGCCGCGUGAGUGAAGAAGGUUUUCGGAUCGUAAAACUCUGUUGGUAGAGAAGAACGUUGGUGAGAGUGGAAAGCUCAUCAAGUGACGGUAACUACCCAGAAAGGGACGGCUAACUACGUGCCAGCAGCCGCGGUAAUACGUAGGUCCCGAGCGUUGUCCGGAUUUAUUGGGCGUAAAGCGAGCGCAGGUGGUUUAUUAAGUCUGGUGUAAAAGGCAGUGGCUCAACCAUUGUAUGCAUUGGAAACUGGUAGACUUGAGUGCAGGAGAGGAGAGUGGAAUUCCAUGUGUAGCGGUGAAAUGCGUAGAUAUAUGGAGGAACACCGGUGGCGAAAGCGGCUCUCUGGCCUGUAACUGACACUGAGGCUCGAAAGCGUGGGGAGCAAACAGGAUUAGAUACCCUGGUAGUCCACGCCGUAAACGAUGAGUGCUAGAUGUAGGGAGCUAUAAGUUCUCUGUAUCGCAGCUAACGCAAUAAGCACUCCGCCUGGGGAGUACGACCGCAAGGUUGAA